rnacentral:lncRNA from 1 species
GAACAUGACCAUAGGAACACAUUUUUUAUAGAAUUGUUCGUGUUCUUCUUUGCUUUGACAUUUGCCAAAUACUUUUAAAAAUCUAGGGUUAUUAUGUGUGUGGACCAUUCUGUCUUAAUCAAGAUCUGCUCAUCACUGUUGUGAUGGAAAAGAAAAUCCAACCAAAGAAAAGAUUACUAACCAGUUUUGAUAAAUGUCUUGUGACUGUCAGCAACAUUGAUUCCAACAGAUCUCAGACAAUAAUUUGAGGGCGUUUUAUCUUUGUUGGGUGUUGGAAACUUUUUAAAAUUAUUUGACCAGGACACUUAAGUGGCACACCCUACUGGAUUCAAUAUAUCUCUAAUUCGGUAGGAAAUAGUCAAGUUUCCAAAACUUUGGAAAGUAAAAUCUGCGCUACGAAAUGUGUAUUUCACUUGAUCUGUAACUUUUGGAGCUCUUUGGGGCUGAGACAGCACUCACGAAGCACAUACUGUCAAGACAGGACCUCACCUUUUUGGGUCACUGCUUUGCUAAGGAGACACUCCCCAACGUCUUGCAGGUGGAUUGUGGGGUGAACAGCCAGAGGCUCCCUGGGUUACACAUGUUUCUAAUACUAAGUUCUAUCCCUGACUUAAAACUGGUUCCCACAUUUUAAAAUCACAGGCAGGUUUAGCAGACAUGUUCCUGCAGUAAGGAGAAAAAAACCGUUUUCUCCACUACAGACGUUUUUGUGGCUCACCUGGCUCCAUGUUCAUUUUUUUUCAGAGAGCAGUGAAUUGGUAAAGUGUGAUGAGUUUUUCUUGAGCAACCCCACGGCAAGGUCCAAGCCCUCCUGAAUCUCCGAAAUGAAGCCCAGAUGAUGCCCAGGAGCAUCAGCGUGGUCUUCUUGUCUCCUUGUUCCUCACUCAGCAGUGUAUCCAAAUGUUGCUGAGUCUCCAAUGCAUGGGCAGGUGCAUGAGUGUCCCUCUCCAUGGAGUUAUGGUGACUUCCACGCUGCGUGAAGAUCCUCCUGACAGCCUCUCAGGUAGACGCAGUACGCUGAUGGUGAGAAAACCACAGAGCCUUGUCUCCUGGAGCUUUUGGGUCUGUGGGGAAGACAAGCAACCAAACAAGCAAUGGCCAUCAAGCGAGGCAGAUGCUGUGACAGAGGAGGCCCACCUCACUAGAGGAGGGGACAGGGAAGGCUUCCCAGAGAAGGACAACUCGAGUCCAGAGCUUCGAAGCUGCAUCUCAGCUGGCUAGGUCUAUAGGAGGCAUGGCUAAUCCAGGCUGAAGGAAAAGGCAAGAGGCACAUUCUGCUCUGAAAAAAAAUUAAAGGAAGGUGAAGGAAGAGAGAGGAAGGGAGGUAAUAAAGAGAAGGAGAAAGGGAGAAAAGAAGGAAGGAAGCUCAUUUUGGCUAAAACAUAGAGUUAGACAGUGGGGUAGUGUGCAAAGAGAGAUGAAGUUUGCAAGGGAGGUAGAGGCCAGGUGAGAAAGAACCUGGGGGCCCUUCUCAUGGAUUCAAUGUGACCUAAGAGGAAG